GCCGCCUGCCGCCGCCGCCGCCCGGCGCCAUGGCCACUGCGGCCGGGGACGGCACGGCGAAGCCGCUGCAGAGCGCCAUGAAGCUGGCCAACGGGGCCAUCGAGCUGGACGCCGGCAACCGGCCCCGGGAGGCGUAUGCGGCCUAUCUGAGGAGCAUCCACUACAUCUCCCAGGCACUCCUGGAGGAAGUGGAGGCGACCAAAGAAGCUGGGGAAACAGUGCCCCCAGACACCCCAAAGAUGCUGAAGCUCGCUGAGCAGUGUUUGGAGAGGGCGCAGUCAACAGCAGCCAAACUUGGGAAAACAUGCCUCAAGCCAGCCAUGCCCACGACUGCGCCAGGCCCCUCAACUACCAGCCGGCACCGCCGGGUGUAUUCAGAUGAAGGGGGCAAGCUCUCUCCUUUUCUGCCCCCUGAGAUCUUUCAAAAGCUUCAGGUGGUGGAAUUGCAAGGCUCUAAGAAGGAGCUGACACCCCUGGAGGAGGCUUCUCUGCAGAACCAGAAGCUGAAGGCUGCCUAUGAGGCCAGGAUGGCUCGUCUGGACGCCACCCAGGCCGUGCAGAAGACAUCACUGACCCUGUCCCUGCAGCGGCAGAUGAUGGAGAACCUGGUAAUUGCCAAGGCGCGAGAGGAGACACUCCAGAGGAAGGCGGAGGAGCGCCGGCUGCGGCUGCAGGAGGCUGCCAACAGGAGGUUCUGCAGCCAAGUGGUUCUGACCCCCGAGGAGCGCGAGCAGCGGGUCGUCUACGCGGCCAUUCUGGAGUACGAGCAAGACCACGACUGGCCGAAGCUCUGGAGGGCCAAACUCAAGAGGAGCCCCGGGGACCUGGCGCUGGUCACCGGCCUGGUCUCUCACCUGCUCAGCCUGCCGGACCACCCCAUCACCCGGCUGCUGAGGACGCUGCAGUGCUCCGCCUACGGCGCGCUCUACCUCCUCGCGAGCAGGGCGGCCGCGGGCCCCAGCUGCGCCCCGGGCUGCUGCGCGCUGCCCCCCGACGCCGACGGGCUGCUGGCCCCCGGGAGCCGGCGGCUCCGGCCGUCCCAGAGUCUCUACUGCAUGCUGUCGCCCCCCGAGCCCGGCCCGCCCCCGCUUCACGCUGGACCCCCGGACCGAGGGCCCGACAGCAGCCCCGUGGGACCCCCCUCGCCGCCGGCGGACACCUCAUCCCGCCUGCCGGACAAGGACACCUCCUUCGAAGACCUGGAGCAGUUCCUGGCUGCGUCGGAGAGGCGAGGCCUGAGCCCCGGGGGGCGGGCGGAGCAGACCCCGCGGGCGAAGGAGGAGCCGCUGCGGGAGCAGCUGAAGGGCACCGCGCGGGACAUACACAACGCCAUCGGCUGCCUCCCCACAGCCACCGUCCACCCCAGCUCUGCUCCUGCAGACCGGCUGCUCUCGCUGACCCUUCUGUCCUUCGACGGCCUGAACACGGCCGCCUCCAAGGACCGCUGCCAGGCCUGCAUCGAGGAGCCCUUCUUCUCCCCGCUAUGGCCCCUGCUGCUGGCGCUCUACAGGAGCGUGCACCGCGCCCAGGAGGCGGCCGUGAGCAGGAGCAUGGAGCUGUACGGGAGCGCGCCACCCGCGGCCCUCGGCAUCCCCACCAGGCUGCUGCCACGGGGCCCCGGCGCCUCCCCCUUCUGCGCGGCCACCCAGGAGCUGGGACUGCUGGUCCUGGAGAGCUGCCCCCAGAAGAAGUUGGGGUGCAUCGUGCGAGCCCUGCGGGCCAUCUGUGAGUGUGCUGAGGCCCAGGAGGCCGGAGCCCAGCCCGGAGCGGCUGCCAUAUGCCUGGUCCUGCUUCAUUGUCACCUGGACACCCAGCCCCAGCUGCCAGCCUCCCAGCCUCGCCACCUGCCCGGGACCUACGCCCCGCCGGCACCAGCCCAGGAGCCACCGGUGGGGGAGCUCGCAGUGGCGCUGACGACCUGCUGCCCAUCCUGUCCUUCGUGGUGCUGAGGAGCGGCCUCCCCCAGCUCGUGUCGGAGUGCGCGGCCCUGGAGGAGUUCAUCCACGAGGGGUACCUCAUCGGGGAGGAGGGCUACUGCCUGACGUCACUGCAGAGCGCCCUGAGCUACGUGGAGCUGCUGCCCCGGGGGGCCCUGGGCCAUUAGCCGAGGGGGAGCCCCGCUGUUCCCCUGGCCCCCCACAUUCCUUCCCUUCCAGGACAGCCUGCGGAUGGGGCUGGGGGUGGCAGGCCAUGCUGGAGCCCCCAGCUCCCUGCCUUCCCUGACCUAACAUUGUCCCAUCCCUGAAGGGUCAGGUAGGGGGACCACAGAGCCAUGCCCCCUCCGGGGGCCUAGCCCUGCCUUCUCCCCUCUGGGGAAUAGGUCAGCCCCUCUGAGCUGGCGGCUGGCCAGGUUGCACUCGGCUUGCUGCUCCUCUCCACUAGCCGCUGGGUGUCCCCGGGAGCAGCCCCCACUGGGCCUUAGCACUCGGAGCCUGGAUCUCCCAGACUCGCCCGGCAGGAAGCCCCAGCCCCGGCCUGUGGCUGCUUCCACAUGGCCUCUCUUCCUGGGGCUGGGAGCAGAGGCCUGGCCACCUCAGACACUGACUGGACUGGAAUAAAGAGGCCACUGCUGUUGUCA